rfam:Aedes albopictus isolate Foshan contig21324, whole genome shotgun sequence.
GGCUCCGUAGCUCAGAGGAAUAGAAGCGCCCGUCUGGCAAAUUAGUAGUCGUGGGUUCAAUUCCCACCGGAGCAC